AGUAACGGCGAGUGAAGCGGCAACAGCUCAAAUUUGAAAUCUGGCUCUCGGGCCCGAGUUGUAAUUUGUAGAGGAUACUUUUGAUGCGGUGCCUUCCGAGUUCCCUGGAACGGGACGCCAUAGAGGGUGAGAGCCCCGUCUGGUUAGAUGCCAAAUCUCUGUAAAGUUCCUUCAACGAGUCGAGUUGUUUGGGA
rnacentral:rRNA from 1 species